rnacentral:lncRNA from 1 species
GGGAGGAGCCUGCGCUGUCCCAGCGCUGCUGGAGGAAGCAACAAAAGCUCUUGUUAGGGUAACAUGAUGAAGCCUUUCCCCUUCACUUCUGCCUCCCAGAGCAGCAGCUUUGACUCUCCUGAUGUGUUGUCAGAGGCCCUGCUCAGCUGAUUGCUUAGAAUGUCUGAGAUGAUGGAAACAUGGAUGCAACAGCUGAGAGGCUAGGCUGGAGACGCUUGUCAUAACUUUAUCUGUGGGAAGCAAGUUCUUGUCGGCUGGGUGAUGGACGACCAAAUGCCGGGGCUGAAUGCACGUCCCAGAUCGGCUUCAUUCGCUUGCUGAGCUGCUUUGCAGGAGUAGACAGCAGAGGCCCUGCUCCCCCAAGCCUUUAGUUGAAUUGUACUUGGUACUUCUACCACGCCUUUCAGCCGAGAAUUUCAAAGUGCUUCCAUACAGGUGGGUACAUAGCAUUAUCUCC